rnacentral:rRNA from 1 species
UGCAAGUCGACGGCAGCACGGGUGCUUGCACCUGGUGGCGAGUGGCGAACGGGUGAGUAAUACAUCGGAACAUGUCCUGUAGUGGGGGAUAGCCCGGCGAAAGCCGGAUUAAUACCGCAUACGAUCUACGGAUGAAAGCGGGGGACCUUCGGGCCUCGCGCUAUAGGGUUGGCCGAUGGCUGAUUAGCUAGUUGGUGGGGUAAAGGCCCACCAAGGCGACGAUCAGUAGCUGGUCUGAGAGGACGACCAGCCACACUGGGACUGAGACACGGCCCAGACUCCUACGGGAGGCAGCAGUGGGGAAUUUUGGACAAUGGGCGAAAGCCUGAUCCAGCAAUGCCGCGUGUGUGAAGAAGGCCUUCGGGUUGUAAAGCACUUUUGUCCGGAAAGAAAUCCUGAGGGCUAAUAUCCUUCGGGGAUGACGGUACCGGAAGAAUAAGCACCGGCUAACUACGUGCCAGCAGCCGCGGUAAUACGUAGGGUGCGAGCGUUAAUCGGAAUUACUGGGCGUAAAGCGUGCGCAGGCGGUUUGUUAAGACCGAUGUGAAAUCCCCGGGCUCAACCUGGGAACUGCAUUGGUGACUGGCAAGCUAGAGUAUGGCAGAGGGGGUAGAAUUCCACGUGUAGCAGUGAAAUGCGUAGAGAUGUGGAGGAAUACCGAUGGCGAAGGCAGCCCCCUGGGCCAAUACUGACGCUCAUGCACGAAAGCGGUGGGGGAGCAAACAGGAUAGAUACCCUGGUAGUCCACGCCCUAAACGAUGUCACUAGUGUGGGGAUUCAUUUCUAGUACGUAGCUACGCUUGAGUGACGCUGGGGGAGUACGUCGCAGAUUAAAACUCAAGGAUUGACGGGACC